GCCGCGAUAGCUCAGUGGUAGAGCGCAACCCUGAAGAGGUUGGCGUCGGGAGUUCGAUUCUCUCUCGCGGCA
rnacentral:tRNA from 1 species